CCUAGGGGGUGCUGCAGUGGGGAAUAUUGGACAAUGGGCGAAAGCCUGAUCCAGCCAUGCCGCGUGUGUGAAGAAGGCCUUCGGGUUGUAAAGCACUUUCAGUGGGGAAGAAAGCCUUGGGGCUAAUACCCUCGAGGAAGGACAUCACCCACAGAAGAAGCACCGGCUAACUCCGUGCCAGCAGCCGCGGUAAUACGGAGGGUGCGAGCGUUAAUCGGAAUUACUGGGCGUAAAGCGCGCGUAGGCGGUCUGAUAAGCCGGUUGUGAAAGCCCCGGGCUCAACCUGGGAACGGCAUCCGGAACUGUCAGGCUAGAGUGCAGGAGAGGAAGGUAGAAUUCCCGGUGUAGCGGUGAAAUGCGUAGAGAUCGGGAGGAAUACCAGUGGCGAAGGCGGCCUUCUGGACUGACACUGACGCUGAGGUGCGAAAGCGUGGGUAGCAAACAGGAUUAGAUACCCGAGUAGUC
rnacentral:rRNA from 1 species